rnacentral:rRNA from 1 species
AUACGGAGGAUUCGAGCGUUAUCCGGAAUUAUUGGGUUUAAAGGGUGCGCAGGCGGACCGUUAAGUCAGCGGUGAAAAUCUGGUGCUUAACAUCAGGAGUGCCGUUGAUACUGGCGGACUAGAGUAUGAUUGACGUAAGUGGAAUGUAGCACGUAGCGGUGAAAUGCAUAGAGAUGCUACAGAACACCGAUAGCGAAGGCAGCUUACGAAGUCACAACUGACGCUCAGGCACGAAAGCGUGGGGAGCGAACAGGAUUAGAUACCCUGGUAGUCCACGCAGUAAACGAUGAUAACUGGCUUUUGGCGAUAGACGGUCAGAGGCUGAGAGAAAUCAAUAAGUUAUCCACCUGGGGAGUACGAUGGCAACAUUGAAACUUAAAGGAAUUGACGGGG